rnacentral:rRNA from 1 species
UACGGAGGGUGCAAGCGUUAUCCGGAUUCACUGGGUUUAAAGGGUGCGUAGGUGGGCAGGUAAGUCAGUGGUGAAAUCUCCGGGCUUAACCCGGAAACUGCCAUUGAUACUAUCUGUCUUGAAUACCGUGGAGGUGAGCGGAAUAUGUCAUGUAGCGGUGAAAUGCUUAGAUAUGACAUAGAACACCAAUUGCGAAGGCAGCUCACUACACGAAUAUUGACACUGAAGCACGAAAGCGUGGGGAUCAAACAGG